rnacentral:ncRNA from 1 species
UGGAACGGUCUGGAAAGUCCGGCGAUACAGGGUGAUAGCCCCGUACACGAAAGCACACUUGCUGUGAACUCGAAGAGUAGGGCGGGACACGUGGUAUCCUGUCUGAAUAUGGGGGGACCAUCCUCCAAGGCUAAAUACUCCUGACUGACCGAUAGUGAACCAGUACCGUGAGGGAAAGGCGAAAAGAACCCCGGCGAGGGGAGUGAAAAAGAACCUGAAACCGUGUACGUACAAGCAGUGGGAGCACGCUUAGGCGUGUGACUGCGUACCUUUUGUAUAAUGGGUCAGCGACUUAUAUUCUGUAGCAAGGUUAACCGUAUAGGGGAGCCGCAGGGAAACCGAGUCUUAACUGGGCGUUAAGUUGCAGGGUAUAGACCCGAAACCCGGUGAUCUAGCCAUGGGCAGGUUGAAGGUUGGGUAACACUAACUGGAGGACCGAACCGACUAAUGUUGAAAAAUUAGCGGAUGACUUGUGGCUGGGGGUGAAAGGCCAAUCAAACCGGGAGAUAGCUGGUUCUCCCCGAAAGCUAUUUAGGUAGCGCCUCGUGAAUUCAUCUCCGGGGGUAGAGCACUGUUUCGGCAAGGGGGUCAUCCCGACUUACCAACCCGAUGCAAACUGCGAAUACCGGAGAAUGUUAUCACGGGAGACACACGGCGGGUGCUAACGUCCGUCGUGAAGAGGGAAACAACCCAGACCGCCAGCUAAGGUCCCAAAGUCAUGGUUAAGUGGGAAACGAUGUGGGAAGGCACAGACAGCCAGGAUGUUGGCUUAGAAGCAGCCAUCAUUUAAAGAAAGCGUAAUAGCUCACUGGUCGAGUCGGCCUGCGCGGAAGAUGUAACGGGGCUAAACCAUGCACCGAAGCUGCGGCAGCGACACUAUGUGUUGUUGGGUAGGGGAGCGUUCUGUAAGCCGUCGAAGGUGUGCUGUGAGGCAUGCUGGAGGUAUCAGAAGUGCGAAUGCUGACAUAAGUAACGAUAAAGCGGGUGAAAAGCCCGCUCGCCGGAAGACCAAGGGUUCCUGUCCAACGUUAAUCGGGGCAGGGUGAGUCGACCCCUAAGGCGAGGCCGAAAGGCGUAGUCGAUGGGAAACAGGUUAAUAUUCCUGUACU